GGCCCUCACUGUCUGCUGUUGUCGCAGAGACAACCUCCGACCGCCACCGUCGUUGAUGAGCCUUAGCCACCCUCCGCCGCUAUCUCUGCUUGUUGUCAUUGCUAUGGAACCCCGAUCGGCCACCACUUGAUGAUACUGUAAUAUAAAUACACCUGCUGGUUCGUUUUAUAGAACGAGAAAUGUCACGUAACAAAUCUCACGACAAGUUUCUCAAAAGGAACCGACUUCGAACGAUUGGAACUUACGCUUCAAGGGAAAACACUAAACAGACAUUCAAGACAGAUUGGAUUACAGGUGACCAAGUUUAUUUGUUGUUGUACCAUACGCCUACCUGUUAAGGCAAUUAAUGUAUUAUUAUUAUUAUUUGUAAAAACAUUGUAUCAAGAUGGAAUAUGAAUGCUAUUUUGUUUA